CAGCAGCCGCGGGAAUACAGAGGAUGCAAGCGUUAUCCGGAAUGAUUGGGCGUAAAGCGUCUGUAGGUGGCUUUUCAAGUCCGCCGUCAAAUCCCCGGGCUCAACCCUGGACAGGCAGUGGAAACUACCAAGCUGGAGUAUGGUAGGGGCAGAGGGAAUUUCCAGUGGAGCGGUGAAAUGCGUUGAGAUCGGAAAGAACACCAACGGCGAAAGCACUCUGCUGGGCCGACACUGACACUGAGAGACGAAAGCUAGGGGAGCAAAUGGGAUUAGAUACCCCAGUAGUCCCUGUCUCUUAUAC
rnacentral:rRNA from 1 species